AUUGAACGCUGGCGGCAGGCCUAACACAUGCAAGUCGAGCGCGCGGCGGACGGGUGAGUAAAGUCUGGGAAACUGCCUGAUGUAGGGGGAUAACUACUGGAAACGGUAGCUAAUACCGCAUACCAUCAGAUGUGCCCAAAUGGUAUUAGCUAGUAGGUGGGGUAACGGCUCACCUAGGCGGUGAUCCCUAGCUGGUCUGAGAGGAUGACCAGCCACACUGGAACUGAGACACGGUCCAGGAUCCUACGGGAGGCAGCAGUGGGGAAUAUUGCACAAUGGGCGCAAGCCUGAUGCAGCCAUGCCGCGUGUGUGAAGAAGGCCUUCGGGUUGGAAAGCACUUUCAGCGGGGGGGCGUUACCCGCAGAAGAAGCACCGGCUAACUCCGGGCCAGCAGCCGCGGUAAUAC
rnacentral:rRNA from 1 species